GAUGAACGCUGGCGGCGUGCCUAAUACAUGCAAGUCGAGCGAACAGACGAGGAGCUUGCUCCUCUGACGUUAGCGGCGGACGGGUGAGUAACACGUGGAUAACCUACCUAUAAGACUGGGAUAACUUCGGGAAACCGGAGCUAAUACCGGAUAAUAUAUUGAACCGCAUGGUUCAAUAGUGAAAGACGGUUUUGCUGUCACUUAUAGAUGGAUCCGCGCCGCAUUAGCUAGUUGGUAAGGUAACGGCUUACCAAGGCAACGAUGCGUAGCCGACCUGAGAGGAUGAUCGGCCACACUGGAACUGAGACACGGUCCAGACUCCUACGGGAGGCAGCAGUAGGGAAUCUUCCGCAAUGGGCGAAAGCCUGACGGAGCAACGCCGCGUGAGUGAAGAAGGUCUUCGGAUCGUAAAACUCUUUUAUUGGGGAAGAACAAAAGUGUAAGUAAAUAUGCACGUCUUGACGGUACCUAAUCAGAAAGCCACGGCUAACUACGUG
rnacentral:rRNA from 1 species